UUGAAAAGGUCCAAUAAACCAAAUUUUCAGUUUUUGCUUUUUGGGUGUUUUUUAAUACCCCUGACUCAAGGCGGUUUCAAAAACACCCUAAAAGCAAAAACUGGAAAUUUGGUUUAUUGGACCUUUUCAAAAAAAAACUCCAGAUUUAAACUUUUUUUUCGAAAAAUAAAUAAUAAGGAUCAACAAACGAACCUAACAUGACACUUAAUCUGUGCAGCCGACGCUCUUUCAACGGACACACCAUUACACUGAACCCGUGCGACGCUCCUGAAACGAACGCACCAUAGUUGAGCUGUCAAAGUUUUUCAAUCGCGCGUGCUCGAUCCUGUCAGAUCCUGUCUAGUGUCUGUAUUCGGUCGCAGUGUUAACCGAAAUUUUCAACGGUAAAUCGCGUGUGCUCGUGAAAAAGGAACAUCCAGCGGUUGGCCUCAGGAUUCUGAAUGCGUUCCUGGUGUUGGACACAUCCGCCGGGUGUUUGCUGUAAAACAACGAAAGUUUCAGGUGCGUUAUAUUUGCGGAGGGCGGAAUCCCGUCCCACGGCAUACAUUUUCCUUUGCCUGCUUGAGCUGCUUGGAUAUUGGCUGAUGCAUGGAGUGAUUUGUUCAUCUUUUUUCGGCACACUCAGCAAACGUCAAACCAAACAAAAUUGCUGCCGGAUCUUUUCCGGGAGAGAUCCGGAAAAAGAUCCGGCAGCAAUUUUACUGAUUUGACAUUUGCUGAGGAUGCCGAAAAGAUUUUUUGUGUUACUCUCGCAAAUACAAUUAGGUUUCACAGCUUGACAUCACGAGCGCACACGCACACACAUUUUUAAUGACACACGUGUAAAAAAUGAAAACAGUACAGGCAAGCUGUCAAAUUUCUAACCUAAAACUCGAGUCGGCGUAAAACCUAAUUGGCUGAUGCAAGAAGUGAUUUGCCUUCAUUUUUCGACUCUCCCAACCAACGUAAACCACACAAAAUUGCUGUCGGAUCUUUUCCGGAAGAGAUCCGGCAGCAUGUUUGUACUGAUUUACGUUUGCUGAGGGUGCCGAAAAGUUUGGUUAUGUUGCUGUAUGCAAAAACAAUACGAUCAUUUUGUGUUUCUAUUCAACAGGGAACAUUUUGCCUAAGGGGUGAACUUCACGCUCGAUUUGGACGAGGAAAGCCGCAACAGAAUCACUCGACAAGAUCGCCAAGAAGUUGGCUUUUCUACAUGGACGAUCGUGGAUGGCGUGUGGCCCAAUUUGUCCUGCCGGGGAGUACCAGUCCGGCCGCAAUCAUCAGACAAUAGAGGAACAUCAUCGCACAUGGGUCAGAUGAUCACCAAGGGAACAUUCCCAACACAACCGGCACUAACGGAACCAGCAAAUCAAUCCGGAGUCUCCAGUCGACAAAAAAGAACCGGUGGUCAGUUUAAACGCACCAUGACAUCAUCCAUCCGAGUAGAAACAAGAAUCGGUCGCGAUCGAGAUCGAAAGCGAAAGAAAGCGGCUUCGUGUUGGUGUUUGAAAAACUCUGGAGGAGACAUUAUCAGUUAACAAUUGAAAAAAAAAACCAAAGUGAUUCAAUGUUGAAUGUAAAUAAAUUACAAUGAAUAUUAUAAAAGUAUUGUAAAACAUA